GAUGAACGCUGGCGGCGUGCCUAAUACAUGCAAGUCGAGCGAACAGAUGAGGAGCUUGCUCCUCUGACGUUAGCGGCGGACGGGUGAGUAACACGUGGAUAACCUACCUAUAAGACUGGGAUAACUUCGGGAAACCGGAGCUAAUACCGGAAAAUAUAUUGAACGGCAUGGUUCAAUAGUGAAAGACGGUUUUGCUGUCACUUAUAGAUGGAUCCGCGCCGCAUUAGCUAGUUGGUAAGGUAACGGCUUACCAAGGCAACGAUGCGUAGCCGACCUGAGAGGGUGAUCGGCCACACUGGAACUGAGACACGGUCCAGACUCCUACGGGAGGCAGCAGUAGGGAAUCUUCCGCAAUGGGCGAAAGCCUGACGGAGCAACGCCGCGUGAGUGAUGAAGGUCUUCGGAUCGUAAAACUCUGUUAUUAGGGAAGAACAAAUGUGUAAGUAACUAUGCACGUCUUGACGGUACCUAAUCAGAAAGCCACGGCUAACUACGUG
rnacentral:rRNA from 1 species